rnacentral:rRNA from 1 species
ACGGAGGGAGCUAGCGUUGUUCGGAAUUACUGGGCGUAAAGCGCACGUAGGCGGCUUUGUAAGUCAGAGGUGAAAGCCUGGAGCUCAACUCCAGAACUGCCUUUGAGACUGCAUCGCUUGAAUCCAGGAGAGGUGAGUGGAAUUCCGAGUGUAGAGGUGAAAUUCGUAGAUAUGCGGAAGAACACCAGUGGCGAAGGAGGCUAACUGGAUUGGUUUUGACGCUGAGGUGCGAAAGUGUGGAGAGCAAGCAG